GCAAGUUGAACGGGGAAUCUUUGGAGCUUGCUUUGAGGAUUCCUAGUGGCGCACGGGUGAGUAACACGUGAGUAACAUGCCUCGUAGAGGGGAAUAGCCCGCCGAAAGGCGGAUUAAUACCCCAUGGUCCCGCAAGGGUAAAGGUGGCUUCGGCUGCCGCUACGAGAUUGGCUCGCGUCCUAUCAGCUUGUUGGUGAGGUAACGGCUCACCAAGGCGACGACGGGUAGCUGGUCUGAGAGGACGAUC
rnacentral:rRNA from 1 species